UUUCCCUGCAGUUAAAAAAGAAAAAAUUGGAAUAUUUAUGAAUUUAAACAUUAUUAUUUUUGCAAGUCUUUGAGGCUGUCAUUUUAUGUGGGCUACAUUUGAUCUGCAUGUAAACCCAGCCCCUCAUUGCUUUGAAAUCUUUUGAUUUUAUACAAACUGCUCUGUGUGAGCUGCAGCGAGUCUCUGUGCUGCAGAACUCUGUGCAGCCCAGUGAUCCCCCUGCAGCAACUUCUGAGAAACGCCGCUGGUACCUGCUGGAAAGGAUGGCACAUGCUGCAGCCAGCAAAGAGAAGGAAUUCCUGUGGGCAGGAGCUGGGCACAGGCAAGAGGCCAGUCAUGCCAGGACACUCUGUCCCUCCGAUGCCACCGAGCUGCUGUUUGCAUUGCUCGAAGCUCCACAGUGCCCGACAAAGGCCCGGCAGCCCAGCCGGGAUCUCCUGCACUCCUUGGAGCUCAGGUUCUGCAGGUGCUGAACUGUGCUGGGCACUACUGGGGGGUGGAAUGAGACAGUCCUUAAGGUCCCUUCCAACCACUCUAUGAUUCUAUGACAGUGUUUUCCUUCCCAAUAAAAGUCAUAUUUUCAAAGGAAA